UACGGAGGGGCAAGCGUUGUUCGGAAUUACUGGGCGUAAAGGGCUCGUAGGCGGCCAACUAAGUCGGAUGUGAAAUCCCCAGGCUUAACCUGGGAACUGCAUCCGAUACUGGAUGGCUUGAAUCCGGGAGAGGAUGCAGAAUUCCAGGUGUAGCGGUGAAAUGCGUAGAUAUACUGGAGGAAUACCGGUGGCGAAGGCGGCAUCCUGGACCGGCAUUGAC
rnacentral:rRNA from 1 species